CUCCCAAACCCAAUGUGAACGUUACCAAACUGUUGCCUCGGCGGGAUCUCUGCCCCGGGUGCGUCGCAGCCCCGGACCAAGGCGCCCGCCGGAGGACCAACCAAAACUCUUAUUGUAUACCCCCUCGCGGGUUUUUUUAUAAUCUGAGCCUUCUCGGCGCCUCUCGUAGGCGUUUCGAAAAUGAAUCAAAACUUUCAACAACGGAUCUCUUGGUUCUGGCAUCGAUGAAGAACGCAGCGAAAUGCGAUAAGUAAUGUGAAUUGCAGAAUUCAGUGAAUCAUCGAAUCUUUGAACGCACAUUGCGCCCGCCAGUAUUCUGGCGGGCAUGCCUGUCCGAGCGUCAUUUCAACCCUCGAACCCCUCCGGGGGGUCGGCGUUGGGGAUCGGCCCUCCCUUAGCGGGUGGCCGUCUCCGAAAUACAGUGGCGGUCUCGCCGCAGCCUCUCCUGCGCAGUAGUUUGCACACUCGCAUCGGGAGCGCGGCGCGUCCACAGCCGUUAAACACCCAACUUCUGAAAUGUUGACCUCGGAUCAGGUAGGAAUACCCGCUGAACUUAAGCAUAUCAAUAAGCGGAGGAAAAGAAACCAACAGGGAUUGCCCCAGUAACGGCGAGUGAAGCGGCAACAGCUCAAAUUUGAAAUCUGGCCCCUAGGGUCCGAGUUGUAAUUUGUAGAGGAUGCUUUUGGUGAGGUGCCGCCCGAGUUCCCUGGAACGGGACGCCACAGAGGGUGAGAGCCCCGUCUGGCUGGCCGCCGAGCCUCUGUAAAGCUCCUUCGACGAGUCGAGUAGUUUGGGAAUGCUGCUCAAAAUGGGAGGUAUAUGUCUUCUAAAGCUAAAUAUUGGCCAGAGACCGAUAGCGCACAAGUAGAGUGAUCGAAAGAUGAAAAGCACCUUGAAAAGAGGGUUAAAUAGUACGUGAAAUUGUUGAAAGGGAAGCGCUUGUGACCAGACUUGGGCGCGGCGGAUCAUCCGGGGUUCUCUCCGGUGCACUUCGCCGCGUCUAGGCCAGCAUCAGUUCGUCGCGGGGGAAAAAGGCUUCGGGAACGUGGCUCCUCCGGGAGUGUUAUAGCCCGUUGCAUAAUACCCUGCG
rnacentral:rRNA from 1 species